AUUGAAUGCUGACGGCGUGGAUGAGGCAUGCGAGUCGAACGGGAAUCGGAGCAAUCCGAUUUCAGUGGCGUAAGGGUUAGGAAUAUAUGGAUGACCCACCUUCUACACUUGGAUAACGGUUGGAAACGACCGCUAAUACAGAGAUGAGGUGAAUUUAGGUGAUACUGAAUUCAUCAAAGUAGGGGACCGAGAAAUCGGCCUCGCGGUAGAUGAGGGGUCCAUACGAUAUCAGCUAGUUGGUAGGGUAAAGGCCUACCAAGGCUUAGACGUCUAGGCGGAUUGAGAGAUUGACCGCCAACACUGGGACUGAGACACUGCCCAGACUCCUACGGGAGGCUGCAGUCGAGAAUCUUUCGCAAUGGGCGCAAUGCCUGACGAAGCGACGCCGUGUGAGCGAUGAAGGCCUUCGGGUUGUAAAGCUCUUUCGCUUGGGAACAAGAGAGGCUGGCUAAUAGUCAGUUGAUUUGAGUGUACCAGGUAAAGAAGCACCGGCUAACUCCGUGCCAGCCGCCGCGGUAA
rnacentral:rRNA from 1 species